UCAAACUUGGUCAUUUAGAGGAAGUAAAAGUCGUAACAAGGUUUCCGUAGGUGAACCUGCGGAAGGAUCAUUAUUGAAUAAACUUAAUAGAUUGUUGCUGGUUCUACAAGAGCAUGUGCACGUCUAUUAUCUUUAUCUUUCCACCAUGUGCACUAUGCAUAGAUCUGAAUAUUAUAAUCAAGGCAACUUGGUUUAUUGGGAAUUGCUGUCGUUCAAGCGGCUUUUUCUGUGUUCAGACUCUAUGUCUUUAUAUAUACCCCAAUGAAUGUGUAAUGAACGAUAGAAAGGCUUCACAGCCUAUAAUAUUUAAUACAACUUUCAGCAACGGAUCUCUUGGCUCUCGCAUCGAUGAAGAACGCAGC
rnacentral:misc_RNA from 1 species